AAAAAAGACCACCCAAAAGCUCCUCCUUCACGGCUGUUGCUUUAUUUAAGGAGUAAACCAACAGAGGCAAAGGAACAAGCUCGUGUAAUAAAAUGUAGCCAUGAAACUGAUCAGGCUCUUGAGGUCUACUGUUCAAUUGAACGAGCAAUGAACACUUUUGGAAAGAACCUUCCAAAGGAAAUGUUGAAACAUAAAGUGAUGAAGCCAUAUGCGCCUGGUGUAGACGGAACCAAUAUUGAAAUGAUUUCAAAAGAAGGGGUUGUUUCCUGGUCGCCACAGCAGGUGCCUGCAUCAGUUCCACUGAGUUCAACUUUUGGUAGCAGCUCCAAUUGAUACGGCAGCCUUUUUUUUUUUU
rnacentral:misc_RNA from 1 species